rfam:Cuculus canorus isolate BGI_N303 unplaced genomic scaffold scaffold268, whole genome shotgun sequence.
CCCUGUACUCGACAGUGACCGCGUCCCGCAUCGUGGCGCGGCCACCGAUCGUACAGGGAGAGCAGCACGAGAGCCUCCCCGUGUCCGGAGGGCAGUCCCGUCCGGACCCUGGUGCUGUCGGACA